GACGGAGGGUGCAAGCGUUGCUCGGAAUCACUGGGCUUAAAGCGUGUGUAGGCGGAUCGUUAAGUACCUUGUGAAAUCCCACGGCUCAACCGUGGAACUGCUGGGUAUACUGGCGAUCUUGAGCCACCUAGGGGCGAGCGGAACAAGCGGUGGAGCGGUGAAAUGCGUAGAUAUCGCUUGGAACGCCAAUGGUGAAAACAGCUCGCUGGGGGUGUGCUGACGCUGAGACACGAAAGCCAGGGGAGCGAACGGG
rnacentral:rRNA from 1 species